rnacentral:rRNA from 1 species
UGGCUGGUGACGUAUCGCCAGGGGAGCGCGCAUUUCUUCGUCUGUUUGAAGUUUGAUUACUUCCGAUUUAGCGUUGUUUAAGCUGUCCUCCCCUGUCGUCGGUACGUCACGUUGUGUUUGUCUCUGUUGACAUGUGUAGUGAACUUCGGUCACGGUUUGCCAUUGCCGCUCUGUGGGUGGCGUGCUCCGUCGCCACGGCAAGUCAGCGAGCCUGUCGCCGUUCAAUGGUGCCGGAUCCGUCGACGGGCCGUUCUUCGGAGGGGCCUGUUGGCGACCGGCGACGUUACCUUGAACAAAUUAGAGUGCUCAAAGCAGGCUCUGAAUGCCUGUAUACAUAUUCAUGGAAUUGGAGAAUACGUCCCUGGCUCGAUUUGGUUGGUUUUGAGAGUCGAAGGGAAAUGAUUAAUAGGGACUGACGGAGGCAUUCGUAUUGCGACGCGAGGGGUGAAAUCCUGUGACCGUCGCACGACGAACUACUGCGAAAGCAUUUGCCGAGAAUGUUUUCAUUAGUCAAGAACGAAAGUUAGAGGUUCGAAGGCGAUCAGAUACCGCCCUAGUUCUAACCGUAAACGAUGUCGACCAGCAAUCCGCAACGGUCACUACACGGACUGUGCGGGCAGCUUCCCCGGGGAAACCAGAGUGUAUGGACUCCGGGGGAAGUAUGGUUGCAAAGCUGAAACUUAAAGGAAUUGACGGAAGGGCACCACCAGGAGUGGAGCUUGCGGCUUAAUUUGACCCAACACGGGACAACUCACCAGGCCCGGACACCGUAAGGAUUGACAGACCGAUAGCUCUCUCUUGAUUCAGUGGGUGGUGGUGCAUGGCCGUUCUUAGUUGGUGGAGUGAUUUGUCUGGUUUAUUCCGAUAACGAACGAGACUCUGGCCUAUUAAACUUGACGCCGCCGUCUUCGUGACUGCGGCGCGCUUCUUAGAGGGAUCAUCGGCGUCCCAGCCGAAGGAAAGGGAGCAAUAACAGGUCUGUGAUGCCCUUAGAUGUUCUGGGCUGCACGCGUGUUACACUGAAGUGGUCAGCGCGCCGUUCAACGUCCCUCUCCGUGAGGAGCGGGCAAACGUUUGAACCCUUUUCGUGAUGGGAAUUGGGGGUUGCAAUUGUCCCCCAUGAACGAGGAAUUCCAAGUAAGCGCAGGUCACUAGCCUGCGUUGAUUAAGUCCCUGCCCUUUGUACACACCGCCCGUCGCUACUACCGAUGGAUGAUUUGGUGAGGUCGCCUAGACUGGCCGCUGGCUUCGGCCGUGCGGCCGGGAAGACGCCCAAACUUGGUCGUCUAGAGGAAGUAAAAGUCGUAACAAGGUUUCCGUAGGUGAACCUGCGGAAG